AAUGGCCGCUGCCUAUUGGUAGGCCUUUGCAGUCAGUUUACACCUGAGUGUGACUGCGUUGGUGUUUGGUACUAGUAUUUCAAGGAAAUCCCCUCUUCUGGUUGAAAUCUCAGUUCUCUGGCGCGAGUCCCCGGACCGGCAGCAUCAGCAGCACCUGGGGCUUAGGUCUUACCCACUGAGACUUGGACGCCAGAGGAUAAAGGGAAAAAUAAAUUGUAUGUCUGGAAAGGCGAGAUCUAGGAGAAGGAUUGGACUCGACACUGAAUGCAGAAUUCUAUGUCUCCAGAUUUUAUUACUCAUAACAUCUCAUCUACAGACGUGUGGCCCUCACUUAGACUUCUCCAUCAAAGGUACUCGUGGUAAAUAACGAAUUCCCAGUCGCUGGGCCUGUAAGGAAGUAAAUUUUAUUUUUAUAAU